rnacentral:rRNA from 1 species
GGGGAAUAUUGCACAAUGGGGGAAACCCUGAUGCAGCAACGCCGCGUGAGUGAUGACGGUCUUCGGAUUGUAAAGCUCUGCCUUCAGGGACGAUAAUGACGGUACCUGAGGAGGAAGCCACGGCUAACUACGUGCCAGCAGCCGCGGUAAUACGUAGGUGGCAAGCGUUGUCCGGAUUUACUGGGCGUAAAGGGAGCGUAGGUGGAUAUUUAAGUGGGAUGUGAAAUACUCGGGCUUAACCUGAGUGCUGCAUUCCAAACUGGAUAUCUAGAGCGCAGGAGAGGAAAGUAGAAUUCCUAGUGUAGCGGUGAAAUGCGUAGAGAUUAGGAAGAAUACCAGUGGCGAAGGCGACUUUCUGGACUGUAACUGACACUGAGGCGCAAAAGCGUGGGGAGCAAAC